GGAGGGUCGAGGGGGUGAGGAAUGAUUUGUGUCAAUGUGGGUGAAAGGUCUUUGGCCUAACACACCUCUACCUUGCUCUCCACACAUGGAGCACCACCAAUCAAACUCACCCUUUGAGCCCCACCCCACAAAAACCACUUUGUAUCGGCAGCCAACGCCUAGUCUCAACACAAGAAAUGUCUGGAAGAAGCUCCAGAGAUUCCAGGUGACCCCACACAGCAGAUGUGAUGAAGCAACACACGUCCUCCUUCAAAGCCACGUGUCUCGCUGACACAUGGACACACAAGCAGCGGGCUGUGACACCUGUUCAGACACAAAAACCAGGCACACGGUAUAUGCAGCUGGUGGAGUAAAAGGGAAUGUUUAUGCAUUAUACCAUAGACUGACACUAAGUGCACUUUAUUUACCUCAC